rnacentral:rRNA from 1 species
CCUACGGGAGGCAGCAGUGAGGAAUAUUGGUCAAUGGGCGGAAGCCUGAACCAGCCAAGUAGCGUGCAGGAAGACGGCCCUAUGGGUUGUAAACUGCUUUUGUACGGGAAUAAAGUGACCCACGUGUAGGAUUUUGUAUGUACCCGAAGAAUAAGGACCGGCUAAUUCCGUGCCAGCAGCCGCGGUAAU